AGUGGCGGACGGGUGAGUAACGCGUGGGUAACCUGCCUCAUACAGGGGAUAACAGUUAGAAAUGACUGCUAAUACCGCAUAAGACCACGGAGCCGCAUGGCUCAGUGGGUAAAACUCCGGUGGUAUGAGAUGGACCCGCGUCUGAUUAGGUAGUUGGUGGGGUAACGGCCUACCAAGCCAACGAUCAGUAGCCGACCUGAGAGGGUGACCGGCCACAUUGGGACUGAGACACGGCCCAA
rnacentral:rRNA from 1 species